rnacentral:sRNA from 1 species
UAUAACUCACCCACAGUUUCCUCAACCUAGGAUUUCUCCCUUUAGUUCCUGACCUUAAUUCUUCCUCGUGGUACCACCUCCUGCUGGUGGCACAGAAGAAGUGGCCACAAUCCGGGUGUCGGGAGUUGGAAAUAACAUCAGCUUUGAGGAGAAGAAAAAGGUUCUAAUUCAGAGGCAGGGGAGUGGCACUUUUGUACAGACUGACAAACCUCUCUACACCCCAGGGCAGCAAGUGUAUUUCCGCAUUGUCACCAUGGAUAGCAACUUCGUUCCAGUGAACGACAAGUACUCCUUGGUGGAACUACAGGUAAAUGGAAGUUUCUUUCUCUUCUCUGUCAGUUGUGGAAGAGGAAGAAUGAGAAUUUGGUGGUACACCUUGAAGACAGAAGCAACUCUGAGAUCUUGGCCCAGAGCCCCAUGACUCUGCCCAGCACCAAGCGCCCACAUCCACCUAAGCUGUGCCUGCUUUCUUGCCUCUGCCCUCCUGGUCUCUCACA